UCUGCCUACGUAACAUCUGGGUGGAGAAGCCUUCCAGUGCCAGUAAGAUUGAAAACACCCUGCUGCCAUAGCAGCCUCAGGGCUCAUUAUGUGCCCAAAUAGGAGUCUGUACAGAACAGAUUUGGUGACUCCAUAGGAAAUGCUUGACAUCACACUAAUUCCCUGACCUUCCUUCCAUCCUCCGCUACUAUAUACAGUUGCUGGCUAUUUAUAUAUGAUGAAUAUGAUUCAGAAUUGAACAAGCCAGGAAGACACUAAGUCCUUCAGCCUACUAAUUAAAAAAAGGGAUAUAGCAUGAUUACUUUGUUCCAUCACCACAUGAAAGAGGACUAUUUGUUUUUAUUGUGGUUAGUUUAGUAGUAACAAACAAAAUAUUUUAUUCCUAUCCAUGAGAAGCAAUCUUGCCCAUCUUAAUGGGCUUCAUCCAACGUGUGCUGGAAUCGGUAGUAGUAUGCAUGGGCUUUGAAUUAGCAUGUGACUGCAAAUCUGGUGAGCUGGAUUAGAGCAAGAGUGCUGUCAGACUACAAGGCUGAGCAUUGUACGCUUUGACACCCCAAAGGGAAUAAUGCCUGUCUUUUAGUGAGAGUCUGUGCAGUGCUUCAGCCCUUGGAAGGCAAACCCUUCAGUAUUGCAGCUGAAGCACUCUGUCAGGCAUCUGUUGCUGUGGCUGGACGUGUGGAGCAAGGAACAUUGUGAGAUUUUUGUGGUGUCAUUAGAUUACUGCUCAUGUGAAAUUGAGUGAUAGAUAGUUUACAUAGUCGGCCUUUUAGCAAAGUUCACAGGCAUGGCUCCAACUGUACAUAUGGAGGCUAAUCUCGGUUACAACUUGAAAAUGCCUCUGUCUUUGUUACUGCGGGGAUGGUCUGGAAAGUAUCGACAGAUUGCUACAUCUGAAAGCUUGUCAUGUUGAUCUUUAUCCUACCAAAAAUCACAGUGCUUUCACUGUACCCUGUGACUCUUCCACUGUGACUAGCUCUUUCAUUUUUCCUGGUCCAGCUAUUUGUCUAGGCCUUUUUUACAACAGUAAUCAAGGAAAAAGAAAUCCGUUUAAAAAACAAAUAUGACACUUAGAUUCUUUUAAACUGAGAUAAGAAUGAGGGAAUUUGGGAACAGUUGCAUUGGCAUUCCAUACAAAUCUUCCCUAAUUCAACUUGGCUGGAAUUCAGGUUGACAAUGAUAGCAGAAAUCAUUACAUAGAGGAACUGUUUAUCAGAUCCCAUCAAGGAGGGUUUCAAAGAAAUGGCCAAGGACUCUCAAUGCAAGGAAAGAGAAGAAACCAGCAAAGCCACUGACAUCUGUGUUUGGUUUUUUUUUGUUGUUUUUUUUUUUGUUUUGUUUUGCAUCAUUUGCUCUUGGAGAUCUCUUUCUUGGGAUUCCAAUCAAAAGCUGUUGAAAAACGGUUGUUCUGAUCACAGUCUCACAACGCCCCUUUCUUCUCUUGCUAAGUAGCAAUGAAAUGACUUUUGCCUCUUUUUUUUUCUCCCCAGUUCUUCUAUUUCUUUUUUUCUGUGAAUGUAUGAUGAAGAAUGAAGUAUUAUGUUGCUUAAUCAUUUAAAAGGAGGGAAGAAAAGAGAAAGAAGUAACAAAGGCAAAAAAAAAAAAAACAUACAAAAGGAAGAGAAAUGGAAUACAAAUGAUAACAAGGGGGAAGGCACCCAGAACUACAACAAGGAAUAAAGCAGAGUAAAGAAUUAGGAAGACCAGAGCAAAGGAAGAAGAAGAAUGUAGGCUACAUGUGUAUACUCAUGUCUUAGGCCCCACAAGUACCUCUGAAAGGGCUAGAAAGAUACACUAUGCUGAGAUGGACAUAUGGCUGUCUUUAAUAAUAGAUAUGAUUGCAGCAGGUGUAAAUAAAUUGAAAUAGUACCAGGUAACUUGAGUAUCGAUAGCAAUAAAAAUGCAGCAGCACAGAGUGGCCAGGUCAGUGUUCUUUUGGUAUCCAGUGUAAUGGAUGGUUUUGAAUAGGUUAUUAGGGAACUGGCUUUCUACUCCUGACUUUUAAUGGUUGGUUGCAUGGUACUUUAAUAUUAUAUGGUAAUCGGCUAAAAAAGCUGUCUUGUAACAGGGACUGAAAUUCAAAUUUCCCCACUCCGAGCCAUAUACCUUAAUUGUUGCAUUGCAAAAUGAUGCUUUGCUUCCCUGUCCCAGUGAGUGUGGAUUAGUUUGUUCAGAAUAACAGCUUUCCAGCAGGCACAAUGAAAGGUGUUCCACCAAACUAGCCUCUGGCCUGGUGACGAAGGGAAUUUCCUGGGAAGUGAGAGGUAGGGAUUCAGUAUUGUCCUCAAUACUCUCCAGGUUUCUAAGCUGUUGUCUGCUGGGCCUUCCUCCUGGCAUGCUUUUGAAAGAUACUGAAGUCCAAGUGCAGACUCUGCUUCAGCAUAACUCAAAGAUUAAAUGCUUUAGAUGCCAAGAACAUUGUAACUUCAGCAUCAGGAGCUGGCAGCUCAGGUGCUUCUUACACUGUCUGUUAGAGAUUCUGGUCCAAGGUACUGGUGUUUCUGGUGUGGGGGCACCUGCCUCAGAGCUGUGGGCCAGGAAACCAGUGCAACUUGAGGGUUGCAGCUCUUAACACUGCAGCAGAUAGUCUGUUGUGGAUAAGGCUUAUCUUUGCUGUGCUUGGGAGAGCACUGUGUUGUGGAUUUGUUCUUGUUCAGUGGUGUGCUCACUGGUAAUUCAUGGCAUUGUGAGGCAGACUUCUGUCAGAUAAAAUUCCAGCACGCUGGAGGUGAGCAUACUAUGCUGCGAUUUUUUAUUUUUUUUUUAAGGUGGGGAGAGGGCCAGUGGAGACAUGUAAUGGAUGUCGAUAGCUACAUUUAAUUUCUUUGGCAAGUGGUUAAGUACUGUUCCCCUUUGUUUGCUUAUGCAGACUAUGUUUAAAGUAUUUCAUAAUAUAAAGCAAACCUUUCUGGAGGCCAGUGCCAAUUUUGGUUGAAGAAAUGUGUAGCACCACAGUUGAAAGUUUUCAUUAUCUUCUGAGGCUCAAUUACUAAUGGAUAUUCUUUUUUUUUUUUUUUUUAACCACACACUUCACAUUCAUAUGACUUCUUUUUUGCCCAAGGCCUAUUUGAAUAAAACUGUGUACUUCCUGCUUUGACAACAUACUGAUGAUGUAUGUUAAGAGAAAAUCAUUAGGAAUAGCCCUGCUGACAAUGUUGUUGGAUGCUAAUUUAUUAUGGACCAUCAUGUUGAAGAAAGAGGCAGCCCUGUGGCUCUUGUGGCAAUAUAAUUACUCGGGACCUUCAGCUCAGGACAACAAAAUUGGAAGCAAUGAAAUUCAGAGAGACCUGAUCACCAUCAGAAUGCUGUUGAGGAUACAAAAUCAACCUAAAACCUGGACUUUAGAAUUUCAGAAACGGUGGUGUCUUGAGCUGAAUCUAACUCAGUCACACUAUUGCCAUGUAAAGAAUAUAAUUAAGGUGAGAUCCAGACAGCAUCAUGACAAGCUCAUGUGUGUAAAUAUGGAUGCCUCAGGGACUUCACUGGUUGGAACUCAUAUACCUAUUGUAUUAAGCAAGAAGACUGUACAUGCCAGGUGUCUUUAUGAAUUUGGGGUUUGGACUUAGAUGCUGAGCAUCUUCGACUUAAACUGCUGACCACGUGUCCAUUCUUUUCAUUGUCUUUCCAAUUUUGCAGAGACAUCUUGUUUCUGAAUGGGAUACUUAAUUAGCAAAAUAUGGAGAAGUUAAUACAUGUUGAGAUAUUGCUGUCUCUUCUACAAUAAAAGGUCUAUAACUUUUCUAAAAAGA